rnacentral:lncRNA from 1 species
CGUCUUGCUUCUCCUGGUCCAAGGGUCGCCGCCAGGGCCCGUUGUUCAGUGCCGGUCCGGCAACACUAACUGCACCGUGACCAACGGCUAUGGAGCCUUUCCGGAUCGCAGCACCUGCCGCGUCGCCGCGGUCGCGUACCCUUCGACCGAAGAGGAGCUGCGGUUAGUUGUCUCCGACGCGACCGAGAAGCAGCAGCACAUGAAGGUGGUCACAAUGUACUCCCACAGCAUUCCCAAGCUGUCGUGCCCCGGCGGGCCGAGCGGCCAGGGCCUGGUCAUUAGCACCCAGCGCCUCGGCAGAUCGGUGAGCGUGGACAUGGCCACAUCGCGGAUGACAUUCGAGGCAGGGAUCACACUUAGGGCGCUCCUUGACGCGGCGGCCGCCCGUGGCCUGGCGCUAUCCCACUCGCCGUACUGGCAAGGGAUGACGCUCGGCGGGCUGCUGAGCACCGGCUCGCAUGGGAGCUCGGCGUUCGGGAAGGGCUCGGCGGUGCACGAAUAUGUGGUAGGGAUGAGGCUGGUAGUUCCAAGUCCGGUCCCGGUGAACGGAUACUACGCCAAGAUCGUUAAUCUUGGUGAGGAUGAUCCUGAUCUCUUGGCUGCCAAGGUUUCUCUCGGUGUUCUUGGAGUCAUUUCUCAGGUAUGUGUGUGGUGACCUACGUGUUGUUCUUUACACGAUUUGAGAUCCAUGUGAUAACUCAUCUUAGUUCUUCAUCGUGGUUCUUCCAACCACGUCAAGUACUUUCAGAAGCUGAGUGUACAUGACUUGCCACGUCUCGAUGCUAAUUAGGUGCAACUAUAUCUUUAAUUCUUCAUGAUAUAGUAGAGAUCAUCCUACUGUUAUUAGCAAGGCUGAAUACUUCCUAUCGUCAGCAAAAUGUCGAGACAGAAAAAAAAAACUUGUUUUCUAUCAAAUCACUUUACAAAGGAAGACUUGUUCUUUUCCUCGAAUCUAGAAAGUUACGUAAAUAAUAGGCUGUUGAUGAUCCCAGUGGACUUUACUUUUAAUCUUUCCUUCUUUUCUUGCUUUGCUUGUCUUCCUUGUUUCAAAAUGGGCUGAUGCAAACCUUUGAUCCGUUCUAAUGAUUCCAUGUACCUUCCCUCGUCGUUUAUCGUAACUACACAACAUAAUUGAGUGUUAUGGAAUAUAACCCACAUAGACAAAGAUCAGAGAAAAAGCAAACUUUGCAAAUAACAGCUACAGUGAUGUUGAUGAUGACUCUGUGUAAACGAGAGUGCCCCUUGUUGAUCUUGAUAGGAAGAAGGGAUAGAGUUAUCAAACAGUGGAAUAGUAAGACAAGCUUCAAUCUUCUAUAUUUUUCUCAAAAAAACUCUUUAUAAUUUCAAAAACUCUAUCUAUUUCAUGACCUAUGGGGUUUAUAUAGUCCCGAAAGAUAUAUUACAUUAAUUGUAUUCAAGAUAAAUAAUUUUUUUUCAAAAAAUUCGUUCAAAAAUCAAUAACCAUUUGGACUUAUUCUUCCAUAGACUUUAAUCUAUUUCUUCGUAAUGAAUCUUCUGCAAUGAAUAUUUCUUUUGAGGAAAUGAAUCUCUUUAUAACAUUUGAAAAAGUUUAAUUCCAGAAGAGACAGGCAGGUCCAUGCUGCCUUGCCUUGCAGAGCUUACGACCGGACCCGAUAAUUGCCUUAAAAGCCUCAGUAACAAUUAUUAGGUUGAAGGACGAUAGGGGAUGUCAGUAGUAGUAGUUCUUGUUUCAAUCUUGUUGCCGGAAUAGCUGAAAAGAGUUGACUUGCAAUACAUGUAAGCUUUUGUUCUGCUGCUUCGUUAUAGGUAACCUAAGAAUUACUUGAACCGAUCGCGCAGGUCACCCUCCAACUUGAGCCAAUGUUCAAGCGAUCCAUCACCAACAGGGUCGUAAGCGACGUUGGCUUCGAGCAAACCAUCUCCUCGUACGCUGUCACUACAUACUAUGGAGACAUCAGCUGGUAUCCGUCACAACGCAGAGUGGUGUACCGAGAUGAUAUCAAGGUCCCCAUCACCACCAAGGGAAAGGGUGUAAACGACUACUUAGGGUUCCGAGCGCAGCCCACACUUGUCGGAGCCUCUCUACGUGCUUCAGGUCUUAUAAAUUGAAGCUUUUAUUUUGCUUGUCAAACUUAAUGUAGUGUUCGAGCAGUAUUAUGCACACAUUUACGUCGACAUUUCGUCCGAGAUUUAUACUGAGAAGGCAUCUUAUGUUCUCUACCAUGUGUUUGUGUCAAUGACUGCAGAGGAACGAGUGGAGGCAACGGGAAAUGCGGAAGGCAAAUGUGUGCUGUUCAGAUUGCAAGUUGAUACUUUGAUUGCGACCGGCAUGGGCUUUAAGAACAAUGACGGCGGCUUGAUAGAAUUCACUGGCUAUCCGGUCAUUGGAAACCAAAGCGACAUGCAAUCCGCCGGUAGGUUCUCAAAUUAUCCGAGGAAUGUCUGCAUGUAUGAAUGAUAGCUCUUGAUGAUAAUGCUUCAUCACAAUAAUGACACAUGUAACGCCCGGAUUUAUUUACUCUGAGUCAUCUUCUUUCCAGGUUCUUGCCUAAGGAGUCCAGAAGACAACCUUCUUACAGCCUGUGGCUGGGACCCUCGUUUUGCGGGGUUCUUCUACCACCAAACCACGAUAAGCAUCCCCUUCACCACCAUCUCUGACUUCAUCGCCGACGUCAAGAAGCUCCGCGACGCCCAUCCCGACGCACUCUGCAGCACCGAGCUGUACUUGGGCUUCUUGAUCCGCUUCGUCCGCAACUCCACAGCUUAUCUUGGCAAAACCGACGACGUGGUGGCCAUUGACAUCACAUACUAUCGUUCCAAGGAUCCAAAACAGCCGCGACUAUAUGAGGAUGUGUUCGAGGAGAUCGAACAGAUGGCCUUGUUCAAGUACAACGGGCUGCCGCACUGGGGGAAGAACAGAAAUGUCGGCUUCCUCAAUGUCAAGAACAAGUUGGGGGCUAAGUUGGCCAAGUUUGUGAGUGUGAUGCAGAAGUAUGACAGCAAUGGAUUGUUCUCUUCAGACUGGACCGAUGCGGUGCUGGGACUGCGAGGGAAGGAAGUUGUGGUGCAGGGAGAUGGUUGUGCAAUGGAGGGGCUGUGCAUUUGCUCCACCGAUGACCACUGCGCUCCUAAACUAGGCUAUUAUUGUCGACCUGGGGAAGUCUAUGAGCAGGCUCGAGUUUGCCGGAAGAUAAAAUCCGUGGAAGCUGAUGGUUUGGCAUGGAGCGCAUGAUACCAUUCACAUUCAUUUGCUGUGAGGUUUAUUUCUGUGUCACUUCCUCUUCGAAUAAAGGAUGAAAUGUCAGUCAAUAAUUACUACAUAGUUUAUUAUUGUGAUAUUAAAGCAAGCGUCGAUAAAUGCAAUAUUGUAUGGGACGCAGAUUACAUUCCUCCCGAUUUAUCUGUACAACUCCAAGAUGACUUAUACAAGUCAUUCUAUAGAACUAUAAUGUCUUAAUAAAUUUUUUUUGGGAAAAAAAUUAGGACAUAAUUUCUCAUUAUUUUUCAUAGCAAGAUCCCAUUUUGAAGGAAACGAACGCUCUCCAGUAUCCUUUGCAUGAAAGGAACGAGGAAGCAAGAAAUAAUUGUGCCAUUCUUAACGCCAUCGUGUGGAGAGAGAUAGUAUGUUAACGCGAUAUUCUUCGCUAUCAUUUCUUAAAAUAAUAAUGAUGAUUAAUGAUAAUAACCUGCGACUCACGUAAAUGUUCUGAUUAAUUUUACAUUAAUUACGCUUGACCCACGUUUCGUGACACAAAUGAAAUGGUAGUUCACACCGAUUACAUUUCAAAUUUUUGACUCAAAGCUCGUCCUAUGGAUCGCGAGAAUAAACCAUAUGGUAAGAAGCUACAUAAAUAUGGAAAUCACAAAGGAGGGUGAUUACUGUAAUUAACCCUUCCUCGAUGCCCCCAACUCCAAGAAACUACUGCUCUCUCUAGGUAACUCUACGGCGCAGCAUCCAAUCUUAUGUUUUUUCCUUUCUCAUCCUCGCAGUAUAAUUUAGAGAUAGCAAGUGGUCGCACCAUGAUCGAGGGAAACAGCAGCGAGAGCAAGCUGAGCCAGUACAUCAGGCCCCCGACCGGGAGCUGCGGCAUGCCCCGGACUUGUACGAUAGCAGCAUGGCCGGGAUCGCCGGCAAGGCGCAGUGUGGCACCGUCAUCGCGCUGUCUUCGCGCCUAUGGCUUUGGGCUGUGCUCGCGGACGAGCAGCAGCGAGGAAGAGAUCAACGACCUCAUCGGCGCCGUUUGCAAGAGCAAGAUGCGGGCCAUCCCGGUGGAGGAUGGGACGCCGGUGCCGAGGAGCCACAGUGUGGCGACGUUGAGGAUAGACGAAGACAAGCCGUGUGACUUCGAGGACGACCUCACGGUGGCCCUGGGGCCAAGGAGCUGUGGCUACGAUGUUGCCACCGAGAGGAAGGUGGGCUUCUAAUAAGCUUCAAGUUAGCUUGUGCGGUGAUCUAACACGAACAGUAAACAUCCGAGCUUAUAUAUUGUACUGCUUUCGAGGGAGGAAAUAAGCAAUUCGUUGAGCCGUUGUCAUUCUUUGGGAACCAAAACUUAUUAGGAGAUAAAUCGAAUAGUAGAUAUUCGUCGCUUCUUUUAUGAAGCCUUGUUGUAUUUUACCUACUCACCACGUCUUGUGAUAAUCUCAUGUAAUAUCUACACAAAAUAACUAAGUUUUAGAUCGGGCAUGACAUCCUCAAGGAAUGAUUUUUUAAUAGACUACAGUGUUUAUUUAUGUGAGGAUUUGGCAUGCUUUUUUCAUCUUAAAAAAGGAAAUGUUAAAUUUCUAAGAAAAACCUCCUAACUUUAAGAAUUUAUCAAAUAACCCUCCAAUCUUGAGAAAUUUUUAUAGAGUAUUUCUUUUUCUUAAAUGAUCAUUCUACCCAUAUUGAUUGUCGCCUUUACCCUUGCAUUGUUAUUGCUGUGCUUGCCGGUGGCCUUCGCACAAGGAAGGAAGGGGUGCAAGAGUUGUCAUCUCCUUCCUGCACCACCUCCCCUCCCUUCUGCAUGCUGGACUUAUUGCUUACAGGCCUCACGCGAGGAAGGAGAAGGUACGAGGGCUAUUAUCACCUUUGCAGACCUCACUAACCCUACACUAACGCCUUGCUCACAACCCUCGCAUGAGAAAGGAGAGGACGUGAGGGCUGGGAUAGUAAUUCAAAUCCAAUCAAGGUCUAUUCCAAAUCAGUCACUAUUUGUAAUGCACUAAAUUUGUAAAACUAGGUUGAGGGGCAUUCUUGACAAAUAUUCCUUCAACGGCGAAUUGAAUUUUUAGGUUUGGACUAGUCGAUGAAGUGAAGUCAUAUCUUAGGAGUACAUGGGAGCCCUUUUUAUGAGUGAUACUAAGGAUGAUUAUUCCUAGAAUCACCGAUCGCAUAGGCCAGCCAUGUCAACCACGGGUUCAGAUGAUUGAUUAUCUGGUCAUGUAUCACCCCUUUAUGAGUAUAUGUCUUACGACCUGAUCAUCAUUUGUCUAUCGCGUGUGAUCCUCAUGCUCUUUGGCAAUCGAUCAGUUGGCUCAUUGGUCAUCGGCAAUGUUGUAUUUGACAUGUCACUUGUCACCUAUCACUUGCCCCCAACUUCUAGGUUGAUAGAUUGUAGGGCUAUCGAGUUAAGAAGUGCUCUAGCUUAUGCUUUUAACACUGAUAGUGGAUUUGUUCGUCAUCUUUUUGACAUAUGUCAUAGAAAUGCAUGUUCUGUCCGUUAAAGCUAUUCUAUCCAUUUAGUAUGUUUAACGCAUUCGGUUCAUUUAACCCGUUCUAUUCAUUAGUUGCUCUCCCUCUAACAUACAUUCCUUAAUAUAUCUUGGUUGCUCUCCCUCUAACAUAUCAGUAUAAAUUUUAGUUGUUUGAGUUGAGAUGAUAACUUAGAUCUAUCUGACGUUCAUUCCAAGUUAGUCUAACUCUAGAAAACCUACAAAUGCCCUAUCGUCGAUCAAGUCAGACUUGUCAGCCAAUACUAAAGUCAAGUCGGGUCCUGGAAGUGUACAUAAGAGUCUCUUUUAUUAGUAACUCUAAGAAUGGUUAUGUCUGGAAUCAUUGAUGGUAAGAGGGGAAUAUGUGCCACAUUCAAGCUGAGACUUGGCAUUCGUACAAGUAAAUGGUUGAUGUGAUCCGGGAGAGAGCAAGGCAUGUAAAUGAUUCAUAACAAGGGAACGUCUCUUACAAGUUCUCCAUUGACAGGUUCUUCCGACUUAGAAUUGGUCUAAUGUUUUCCGGCUUCUCCGUACCUCAGGAAAUGUUGGGUCUAGCCCAUACGUCAGCUUGGACUAGAUAAUUAAAUUUUUGAGCUCAAAUCAAUAAUUAAAAAAAAAAACUGCCUAUAGCGUUUUGACAAGCGAACGAUGGCGACGCACAGUCAAAUUAACAUAGAAAGAGAAAAGAGAAAAAAAAUAAGAUUUUGAGUUUUUCUUAGUUAACGAUCAGAGUCAAACUUGGAUCCAAAUUAUACAUGAAAAAUCUUUACAGUAGCCAGCUCUACAAUCCGCUGAUUUGUAGUUUACCCUUUAUGAGGUAUUUUCCAACUAUACUCAUUUUGUGAGACAAAAUUCUUUUUUUGAUGAGAUUCAUUCAUGUGAUGAUGAUAUACUAUUCUUGAGUCAAGAUAUGUGAUUUUGAUGUUAUUAUGGUUCUCUUGUUAUUUUAAAGAAGACUUAUUGUAAACCUAUAAUUAUUAUUAGUGAUAGUGGAAGCUUGAAGUGGACUACGAUCCCUAUUAUUAUUAUUAGUGAUAGUGGAAGCUUGAGGAGGACUACGGUACGUGGUUUUUUCCGCAUUAGGUUUUUCACGUUAAUAUUUGGUCUUACUUUGUGAUUGAUUCAUUGUUUUGUUAUUUAUGUUGUUCUGGUUUAUAUGUACUUUUGAUAUCAAGCUGGUUUUUGAUGAGAAACUUAUUUUAAUAGACAAAAAGAAAAAAAAUUAUUUUAUUUUAAUAGGUUUUUCCCAACAAGAAAUUGAGUGAAGAACUCUAUUUAACCGACUUCAAGUCGGCACGACCCUCUUCGCAUCCAAUGUUAGUGUAGCGCUAUGACCUAGGAAGAAGAAGAGGGAACAAGCUGAUGCGGUACAUCAAGGCCUCUCAUCGAGCACUGCUACGUGCCCGGGACUUGUACGUGAACAGCAUGGCUGGAUGCGCCAGAAGGGCCCAGGGCGAGCCGACGAUCAUCGCGAUGCCGCACGCCCAGAGCCACAUAUAUACACACACAAACGCGCACACACAAUAAAAGUAAUAUAAUUAUUGAUGCCCAUGCAAAAAGAUUUUAUAUCAUUUUUAUUUAAUUCGCUCACGUGGAUCAAUCGAGUUGUCCAUGUGUUAUUAUCCAUUAACUUGCUUUUAUCUAUUAUAUAAUAACGAUUGGAUCAUGAGCUGGCUUUCUCAUCUGCGUGCCAAUCCAAACGCUUCUAUACUGUGCCAUCGACGACUUCAAUAUCUUUGAUUUGCUCACAUCUCAAAGCCAAAAAAAAGGAAAAAUGAUGAGUACCUACAGUAUAUGACAAUUAGUUAGACCGAUUCUUCUAAAUUUUCUGAUCCCAUCGUGAGGCGUGCAUGACCAGCGUACUUUCCCCACUGUAUUUUACUCGACCAUCACUAACCUCACCGCUAUUAUAGAAAUAGUAUGUCAACACGAUCUUGGCUGUCAUCANNNNNNNNNNNNNNNNNNNNUUUUCUUACAAUAAUAAUAAUGAUAAGAACCUUGCGUCCCAAGUUGGCUCACGUGAUUGAAAUAAAUGACUCGAAUUGGGAACAAUACCCAUAUGCAGAUUCAUUGGGAUGGCAGAAUCUCUUGUUAAGUCAACGGGCUUUACCUCCCUUAUUUUAUAUGAAUUUUUUUCUGACACCUAAUAAUUUUGUAAACAGUGAUCAAGAUAUCGAAUUCACAUUCUCCUAUAUACACAUUACAUACCCAUAUGCAGACCAACUCUGGACAGUCAUCAUGGCCGCCACCUACUUUGCCCUAUUCGCCUCCGGCCUCGCCGUCUUGCUUCUACUAGUCCAAGGAUCGCCGCCAGGGCCCGUUGUCCAGUGCCGGUCCGGCAACACUAACUGCACCGUGACCAACGGCUAUGGAGCCUUUCCUGAUCGCAGCACCUGCUGCGUCGCCGCGGUCGCGUACCCUUCCACCGAACUGGAGCUCCUGUUAGCUGUCUCCGACGCCACCGAGAAGCAGCAGCACAUGAAGGCUGUCACGAUGUACUCCCACAGCAUCCCCAAGCUGUCGUGCCCCGGAGGGCCGAGCGGCCAGGGCCUGGUCAUUAGCACCCAGCGCCUCAACCGAUCGGUGAGCGUGGACAUGGCCACCUCGCGGAUGACGUUCGAAGCAGGGAUCACACUUAGGGAGCUCCUUGACGCGGCGGCCGCCCGUGGCCUGGCGCUACCCCACUCGCCGUACUGGCAAGGGAUGACGCUCGGCGGCCUGCUGAGCACCGGCUCCCAUGGGAGCUCGGUGUUCGGGAAGGGCUCGGCGGUGCACGAAUAUGUGGUAGGGAUGAGGCUGGUGGUUCCAAGUCCGGCCCCGGUGAACGGAUACUACGCCAAGAUCGUUAAUCUUGGUGAGGAUGAUCCUGAUCUCUUGGCUGCCAAGGUUUCUCUCGGUGUUCUUGGAGUCAUUUCUCAGGUAUGUGUGUGGUGACCUACGUGUUAUUCUUUGUUCUUUACACGGAUUGAGAUCCAUGUGAUAACUCAUCUUAGUUCUUCAUGGUGGUUCUUCCAACCACGUCAAGUACUUUCAUAAGCUGAGUGUACAAGAUUUGCCACGUUUCGAUGCUAAUUAGGUGCAACUAUAUCUUUAAUUCUUCAUGAUAUAAUAGAGAUCAUCCUACUGUUAUUAGCAACGCUGAAUACAUCCUAUCGUCAGUAAAAUGUCGAGACAGAAAAAAAAAACUUGAUUUCUAUCAAAUCACUUUACAAAGGAAGACUUGUUCUUUUCCUUGAAUCUAGAAAGUUACGUAAAUAAUAGGCUUUUGAUGAUCGCAGUGGACUUUACUUUUAAUCUUUCCUUCUUUUCUUGCUUUGCUUGUCUUCCUUGUUUCAAAAUGGGCUGAUGCAAACCUUUGAACCGUUCUAAUGAUUCCAUGUACCUUCCCUCGUCGUUUAUCGUAACUACACAACAUACUUGAGUGUUAUGGAACAUAUGAGCACAUGCAAACCCACAGAGACAAAGAUCAGAGAAAAAGCAACCAUUGCAAUAACAGCUACAGUGACGUUGAUGAUGACUCGGUGUAAAUGAGAGUGCCCCUUCCUUCACAUAUGGAGCCUCGAGCAGGGCAAGAGGCAGGCAGGUCCAUGCUGCCUUGCCUUGCAGAGCUUACGACCGGGCCCACUAAUUGCCUUAAAAGCCUCAGUAACAAUUAUUAGGUUGAAGGACGAUAGGGGAUGUCAGUAGUUGUAGUUCUUGUUUCAAUCUUUUUGCCUGAAUAGCUGAAAAGAGUUGACUAGCGAUACAUGUAAGCUUUUGUUCUUCUGCUUCAUUAUAAGUAACCUAAGAAUUACUUGAACCGAUCGAGCAGGUCACCCUCCAACUUGAGCCAAUGUUCAAGCGAUCCAUCACCAACAGGGUCGUAAGCGACGUUGGCUUCGAGCAAACCAUCUCCUCGUACGCUGUCACUACAUACUAUGGAGACAUCAGCUGGUAUCCGUCACAACGCAGAGUGGUGUACCGAGAUGAUAUCAAGGUCCCCAUCACCACCGAAGGAAAGGGUGUAAACGACUACUUAGGGUUCCGAGCGCAGCCCACCCACGUCGGAGCCUCUCUACGUGCUUCAGGUCUUAUAAAUUGCAGCUUUUAUUUUGCUUGUCAAACUUAAUGUAGUGUUCGAGCAGUAUUAUGCACACAUUUACAUCGACAUUUCGUCCGAGAUUUGUACUAAGAAGGCUUCUUUUGUCCUCUACCAUGUGUUUGUGUCUGUGAAUGCAGAGGAACGAGUGGAGGCAACGGGAAAUGCGGAAGGCAAAUGUGUGCUGUUCAGAUUGCAAGUUGAUACUUUGAUUGCGACCGGCAUGGGCCUUAAGAACAAUGACGGCGGCUUGUUAGAAUUCACCGGCUAUCCGGUCGUUGGAAACCAAAGCGACAUGCAAUCCUCCGGUAGGUCCUCCAAUUAUCCGAAGAAUGUAUAUGAUGACACAUGUUACACCUGUAUUAUAUAUUAUAUGGUCUGAGCCAAAUUCACUCCUGUAUUCUGUAUUAGUCUGAACCAUCUUCUCUCCAGGUUCGUGCCUAAGAAGUGCAGAAGACAACCUUCUCACGGCCUGUGGAUGGGACCCUCGCUUUGCUGGGUCCUUCUACCACGAAACCGCGAUAAGUAUCCCCUUCACCACCGUUGCAGACUUCAUCGCCGACGUCAAGAAGCUCCGCGACGCCCACCCCAACUCGCUCUGCGGCACCGAGCUGUCCUUGGGCUUCUUCAUUCGCUUCCUCCGCAACUCCACGGCCUAUCUUGGCAAAACGGACGACGUGGUGGAGAUCGACAUCACAUACUACCGUUCCAGGGAUCCAAAACGGCCGCGACUCUAUGAGGAUGUGCUCGAGGAGAUCGAACAGAUGGCCUUGUUCAAGUACAAUGGGCUGCCGCACUGGGGGAAGAACAGAAAUGUCGGCUUCCUCAAUGUCAAGAACAAGCUGGGGGCUAAGUUGGCCAAGUUUGUGAGUGUGAUGCAGAAGUAUGACAGCAAUGGAUUGUUCUCUUCAGACUGGACCGAUGCGGUGCUGGGACUGCGAGGGAAGGAAGUUGUGGUGCAGGGAGAUGGAUGUGCACUGGAGGGGCUGUGCAUUUGCUCCACUGACGACCACUGCGCUCCUAAACUAGGCUAUUUUUGUCGACCUGGAGAAGUCUAUGAACAGGCUCGAGUUUGCCGGAAGAUAAAAUCCGUGGAAGCUGAUGGUUUGGCAUGGAGCGCAUGAUACCAUUCACAUUCAUUUGCUGUGCGGUUUAUUUCUGUGUCACUUCCUCUUCGAAUAAAGGUUGUAAUGUCAGUCAAUAAUUACUACAUAGUUUAAUGAUGAUUAAUGAUAAUAACCUGCGACACACGUAAAUGUUCUGAUUAAUUUUACAUAAAUUACACUUGACCCACGUUUCGUGACACAAAUGACAUGGUAGUUCACACCGAAACUACUGCUCUCUAUAAAUUACUCAACGGCGCAGCAUCCAAUCUUCUGUUUGUUCCUUUCUCAUCCUCGCAGUAUAAUUUGGAGAUAGGAAGUGGUCGCACCAUGAGCGAGGGAAACAGCAGCGAGAGCAAGCUGACCCCGUACAUCAGGCCCCCGACCGGGCCGCUGUGGCAUGCCCGGGACUUGUACGAGAGCAGCAAGGCGCAGAGUGGCACCGUCAUCGCGCUGUCUCGCGCCUAUGGCUUUGGGCAGUGCUCGCGGACGAGCAGCAGCGAGGAAGAGAUCAACGACCUCAUCGGCGCCGCUUGCAAGAGCAUGAUGCGGGCCAUCCUGGUGAAGGAGGAUGGGCUGGUGCCAAGGAGCCACCGAGUGGCGACGUUGAGGAUAGACGAUGACAAGCCGUGUGACUUCGAGGACGACCAAGAGGAACGAUGCCAAGGAGCUGUAGCUACGAUGUUGCCACCAAGAGGAACGUGGGCUUCUAAUAAGCUUCAAGUUAGAUUGUGCGGUGAUCAACACGAACAGUAAACAUCCGAGCUUAUAUAUUGUACUGCUUUCGAGGGAGGAAAUAAGCAUUUCGUUGAGCCGUUGUCAUUCUUUUGGAACCAAAACUUAUUAGGAGAGAAAUCGAAUAGUGAAUACAGAAGAAGAUAUUCUUCACUUCUUUUGUGAAGCUUUGUUGUAUUUUACCUACUCACCAUGUAUUUUACACAAAAUAACUAGUUUUAGAUCGGGCAUGACAUCCUGAAGGAAUGAUUGUUUAAUAGACUACAAUGUUUAUUUAUGCGAGGAUUUGGCAUGCUUUUCUCAUCUUAAAAAAAGGAAAUGUUAAAUUUCUAAAAAAAGACCUCCUAACUUUAAAUUAUCAAAUAACGCUCUGAGAAAUUUUUUUAGAGUAUUUUUUUCUUAAACAAUCAUUCUAUCCAUUGUCAACUCUAUCCAUGCAUUGUUAUUAUUGUAUUUACAUGUGGCCCUCGCAUAAGGAAGGAAGGGGUGCAAGAGUUGUCACCUCCUUCCUGCACCACCUCUCCUCCUCUUGUCAUGCUGGAUUUGUUACUUAUAGGCCUCACUCGAGGAAAGAGAGGGUACGAGAGCCAUUGCCACUUAUGCGGACCCCACCAACUCUAUCCUAGCGCCUCGAUCACAACUUUCAUAUGAGAAAGGAGGGGACGUGAGGGCCGUCAUCGUUUCUGUGGACCUUACUAGCCCUAGGACCUUGCUAGACUCUAUUGGACUUGUUGCCCGUAGCCCUUACACAAGGAAAGAAGGGUUGUGAGGGUCGACGCCACCACCAUCUUCACAGACCACUACGACCCUGCUUAUAUGCACUUCACUCGUAACCCUUGUGCAAGGAAGAAGGUGGCACAUGUGCUAUCGUUGCCUUUGUGGAACCUAUUAGUCUCCGUCAAACCUGUUGUCACUCUGCACCACCCCCCCUUUCCUCGCACGAGGGCCAUAGUGUGCAAGGGUUGUGAGUGACAGAUUAUAUGAAGUAGAGGAGAGGAUAGGUAGUGCAUGGAGUAAGGGCACAAGUGAUUAUAGAGGGAGGAGGAGAUAACUAUAGGUCUAAUAGAAAUAGAGAUAAAAUAAUAUUUUUAUAUAAUCAAGAUACUCUAUGAAUUUCUUAAAGUUAAAAGGCUCUGUAAAAAAUUCAUAAUGUUAAAUCUAAAAAAAAAAUAAGGAUUUGACGUGCGUCCGACAAGCCUCCUUCCUGGAGAGGAUCAACACACAGCUAGUUAGUAGGGGAUUCAGUAACUUUCCUUUUUUUUUCCCUUUAAAAAUAUGAAGUUUCAUAACUUAUCAAAAAGAGGUCCAAAUUGUACAUUUAUACCAAUAAAUUUGAAUACUACAAGUUUUUCUCUUGCAACUAAUACACACACAUAUACUACAGUUUUGCCCCAUACAAAUCGAAUAACAAUGAGUAUAGUUUUGACCCUUCCAUGUAUAGAAAUUAAAUAAAAAUUAGUUUGAUUCAAUUCAAAGAGUUAAGUUUCUAUAUUGUGGACCAAAUUAAGUAUAUAUAAUCAGACUCUUUUAAUUCUUAAUUAUACUAGAUUAUCCUCUUAGUUUAUUUUAUUUCAAUUUAGACAUGAAUAUUUUCAUUACAAUGUGAAUAAUAAAAAUAUCUUAAAAGUGAAGUCAUAUUUGGUUCUUUAUUAGACCUUACUUUUCAACUUUUGUAACGAUCCAACCAAUGACCUCAUUAUUGGCCAUGAAUGAAAUCUUGAAUUCUAAUUUUUAAGUAAAAUGUAACUUAUGAUAUUUUAGAUUAAUACAAGUUAACAAUUAUUAACUAUCAUUAGUUAUGAUUGAUUAAAAAUUGAAAUGUAGUAAUAGAAUAUGAUAUUACAAAAUGUUCACAUCAUAUUUCUUUCUUAAAAAAUAAUCUUGUUUAUACCAAACUCGAAUUCAAAAUCUCAUCUGAUAUAUUUUGAAGAUAUCAUCUAAUUUAGUUGGUGUUAGUGUAGAUUUUGAUUAUAUGAGCUAGGAUAAUUCUUCAAAUUGAAUCAAAGUCUAUUCCAAACCAAUCUCACUUCACAUCACUAUUAAUAAAGCACCAAACUUGUAAAACUAGGUCAAGAGGUAUUCUUGACAAAUAUUCCUUCAAUAAUCAAUUGAAUUCUUAGGUUUGGACUGGCUGAUGAAUAUUGAAGUGAAAUCAUAUCUUAAGAGUACAUGAGAGUCCUUUUUAUGGGUGAUACUAAGGAUGAUUAUUCCUAGAAUCACCGAUCACUUAGGCUAGUCGAUCACGAGUUCAAAUUAUCUAUCAUUUGGCCACAUAUCACCCCUUUAUGAGUAUAUAUCUUACUACCUGACCAUCAUCUGUCAAACGCGUGUGAUCCCCAUGCUCUUUGAUAAUCGACCCAUUGGCUUCUUGGCCACGUGUCGCAUUGUGGCAAUGUUGUAUUUGACAUGUCACUUGUCACCUAUCACUAGCCCCCCAUUUCUAAGUUGAUAGAUUAUAGGGCUAUAGAGCUAAGAAGUGCUCUGGCCUAUGAUUUUUACACUGAUAGCGAGUUUGUUCAUCAUCGUUUUGACAUAUGUCAUUGGAAUGCAUGUUGUGUCCAUUAAAGCUAUUCUAUCCAUUCAGUGUGUUUGACGCAUUCAGUCCAUUUGACCCAUUCCGUUGGUUAGGGUCGUUCAGCUCGUUCAAUCAAUUUGACAUGUUAGGCUUUUUAGGAUUUAACCUAGAUGGUACCACGAAGUUUUCUUAAGAUAUCUUAGUUGCCCUCUCUCUAACGCUAAUAUAUUAGUAUAAAUUUUAAUUGUCUGAAUUGAGAUGAUAACUUAGAUCCAACUGAGAUUCAUUGCAAGUUAGUCUUACUCUAGGAAACCUACAAAUGCCCCAUCGUAGAUCAAGUCAGACUUGUUGGCCAAUAAUAAAGUCAAGUUGGAUCCUCGAAGUGUACCUAGAGUCCCUUUUAUUAGUAACUCUGAGAAUGAUUAUGUCCGGAAUCAUUGAUGGUAAGAGAGGAAUAUGUGCCACAUUCAGACUGAGACUUGGCAUGAUAUUCAUCGAACCUUGUGUUCACAUAGGUUGGUUGUGCUAAUCAUGGGUUUGGACGAUCGACUAUUCAUCCACGUAUUAUCUCAUGCUGAGUGUGCAUCUCAUGAUUCCAUCAUCACCUAUCUAUCACAUAUGAUCCUCAUGCUCUUUGGUUGUCAACCUUGUGGCCAUGUGUCACUACACGGUGAUGUUAUAUUCGAUAUAUUACUCUUUAUGCUGAAAAAAAAUUUGAUAGUUGAUCACUAGACUCAAAAUUCUACAUUCGUUAGUGGUGCGUUGGCCAUGUCUCGCCGCAUGAUAGUGUUAUAUUCAAUGUCACACCCUUCACCUGUCAGAUAAAGACUUUAAUAGUUCCUCCCAAAAUUUUAGACUUAAAUUCCACAUUAAUCACUUAUUCUCAAAAAAAAAAUCUGGUUAAGAUCGCAACCACUGCUUCGGUUACAAUUAUCCCUUCUAUUUUUAUAACAGAACAAAUAGGGUAAACAGUGUGCGAGUCGAUCAGUCGGUGGACUGCCUUCAUUCCACCGACUUACACCAUCAUGAGAUCCUCUUAAUUUUCAAAUUAUAAUAAUUAUAAUUUAAAAAAUAUGAAUAACAUUAAAUAAAAAUAAACAAAAAAAUCAGCCAUAACGCGUAAAGGUCAAAGUCAAAGUACCCAUGACCCAUGGACUGGGACACGUGGAGGCAAGAAAGCAUCACAACAGACUCGAGAACGAGCCCACUCGAUUGGACCAUUCAGGGCGGGAUUAAUUGAAAGAAACAACGAGCGAGACAGUCAGCAGGUCCACUAAACUGGAAGCAUUCUUCAUGCUUUGAAAUCAAAACAUGAGUCUAACAUGAUCAACCAAAUUGGACUCAACACUUGUGAUCGAGAAGAAUAGGGUGCCGCCAUGUUCGUACAAGUAAAUGGUUGAUGUGAUCCGGGAGAGAGCAAGGCAUAUAAAUGCUUCAUAACAAGGGAACGUCUCUUACAAGUUCUCCAUUGACAGGUUCUCUUCCUGCUUAGAAUUGGUCCAAUGUUUUCCGGCUUCCACAUACCUCAGGAAAUUGAGUAAAGAACUCUAUUUAAGCGACUUCAAGUCGGCACGACUCUCUUCGCAUCCAAUGUUAAUGUAGCGCUAUGAGCAAGGGAAGCAGAAGAGGGAACAAGCUGAUGCGGUACAUCAAGGCCCCUUAUCGAGCACUGCUUCGUGCCCGGGACUUGUACGUGAACAGCAUGGCCGGAUGCGCCGGCAGGGCCCAGCGCGGGCCGACGAUCAUCGCGAUGCCACGCGCCCAGAGCCGCAGCUUCCACCGCCCGCAAAUGAGCAGCGGCGAGGACGACAUCAACGAGCUCAUCCGCGCUGCGUCGAGGAGCAGGCUGCGGUCCGUCGAGGGAGCGGCGGUUCCGAGGAGUCACAGCGUGGCGGGGAUGACGAUUGACGAGGACAAGCCAUGCAACUUUGAGGGCGACGUCAAGGUGGCCUUGGGCCCGAGGAGCCGGAGCUGCGACGUCGUCUCCAAGAGGAGGGCGGGGUUUACAACAAACGCCGUAAGCAGCAUCCGAAGCUUCUAAUACCAAGAGUGGAAGCACCAAAUGCAGCAAUUCCAUGUCGUUGUGGUUUCUAUUACUCGUGUUCGUGAACUCGAUUCGAUACUUUCUCUCCUCUUCUUCUCCUGUCAUGUUUCUGUUCACUCGUGAAUGUUUGGGCUGCCUGCUUACCUCAUUCCAUCUACACGAACGGAAUGUUCAUAUGGCAUCUCGGUAUCAUUUCCCUCAAAAUUUGAGCCUACAUUUGAAGCAUUUUCAUUAUAUAUAUAUAUAUAUAUAUAUAUAUAUAUAUAUAUAUAUAUAUAUAUAUAUAUAUANNNNNNNNNNNNNNNNNNNNNNNNNNNNNNNNNNNNNNNNNNNNNNNNNNNNNNNNNNNNNNNNNNNNNNNNNNNNNNNNNNNNNNNNNNNNNNNNNNNNNNNNNNNNNNNNNNNNNNNNNNNNNNNNNNNNNNNNNNNNNNNNNNNNNNNNNNNNNNNNNNNNNNNNNNNNNNNNNNNNNNNNNNNNNNNNNNNNNNNNNNNNNNNNNNNNNNNNNNNNNNNNNNNNNNNNNNNNNNNNNNNNNNNNNNNNNNNNNNNNNNNNNNNNNNNNNNNNNNNNNNNNNNNNNNNNNNNNNNNNNNNNNNNNNNNNNNNNNNNNNNNNNNNNNNNNNNNNNNNNNNNNNNNNNNNNNNNNNNNNNNNNNNNNNNNNNNNNNNNNNNNNNNNNNNNNNNNNNNNNNNNNNNNNNNNNNNNNNNNNNNNNNNNNNNNNNNNNNNNNNNNNNNNNNNNNNNNNNNNNNNNNNNNNNNNNNNNNNNNNNNNNNNNNNNNNNNNNNNNNNNNNNNNNNNNNNNNNNNNNNNNNNNNNNNNNNNNNNNNNNNNNNNNNNNNNNNNNNNNNNNNNNNNNNNNNNNNNNNNNNUUUCCUUACAAUAAUAAUAAUGAUAAGAACCUUGCGUCCCAAGUAGGCUCACGUGAUUGACAUAAAUGACUCAAAUUGGGAACGGAUGAAAACUCCUCCUAUUGCAUGUUCAUGAAUCAGAUAUGGAUGAUAUGGCACCACUUUUCCAUUGCCGUCCCACGCACAUCAUCCACGGUUUCCACAGAGACUGGUAGAAGUAAAAUUGCCAACUCAUCUACCUCCCUCUAUCAAUAUAUAUUAUCUAAUCACGUUCUUGCAUCACGUGUUCUGCGACCAUCAACCGGAGACUUUGACAAUUAUGAACCAUUCCAACACGUCUAAAUACACGUAAGAUUCAUCGGGAUGGCAUAAUCUCUUGUUAAGUCAACGGGCUUUACCUCCCUUCUUUUAUAUGAAUUUUUUUCUGACUACUAAUUAUUAUGUAAAUAGUGAUCAAGAUAUCGAAUGCACCUAUAUAUACAUUACAUACCCAUACCCAGACCAACUCUGAACAGCCAUCAUGGCCGCCACCCACAUUGCCCUGUUCGCAUCCGGCCUCGCCGUCUUGCUUCUCCUAGUCCAAGGAUCGCCGCCAGGGCCCGUUGUCCGGUGCCGGUCCGGCAACACUAACUGCACCGUGACCAACGGCUAUGGAGCCUUUCCUGAUCGCAGCACCUGCCGCGUCGCCGCGGUCGCGUACCCUUCGACCGAACAGGAGCUCCUGUUAGCUGUCUCCGACGCCACCGAGAAGCAGCAGCACAUGAAGGCUGUCACGAUGUACUCCCACAGCAUCCCCAAGCUGUCGUGCCCCGGCGGGCCGAGCGGCCAGGGCCUGGUCAUUAGCACCCAGCUCCUCAACAGAUCGGUGAGCGUGGACAUGGCCACCUCGCGGAUGACGUUCGAGGCAGGGAUCACACUUAGGGCGCUCCUUGACGCGGCGGCCGCCCGUGGCCUGGCGCUACCCCACUCGCCGUACUGGCAAGGGAUCACGCUCGGCGGGCUGCUGAGCACCGGUUCGCAUGGGAGCUCGGUGUUCGGGAAGGGCUCGGCGGUGCACGAAUAUGUGGUAGGGAUGAGGCUGGUGGUUCCAAGUCCGGUACCGGUGAACGGGUACUACGCCAAGAUCGUUAAUCUUGGUGAGGAUAAUCCUGAUCUCUUGGCUGCCAAGGUUUCUCUCGGUGUUCUUGGAGUCAUUUCUCAGGUAUGUGUGUGGUGACCUACGUGUUGUUCUUUGUUCUUUACACGGUUUGAGAUCCAUGUGAUAACUCAUCUUAGUUCUUCAUGGUGGUUCUUCCAACCACGUCAAGUGCUUUCAUAAGCUGAGUACAUGACUCGCCACGUCUCGAUGCUAAUUAGGUGCAACUAUAUCUUUAAUUCUUCAUGAUAUAAUAGAGAUCAUCCUACUGUUAUUAGCAACGCUGAAUACAUCCUAUCGUCAGCAAAAUGUCGAGACAGAAAAAAAGAACUUGUUUUCUAUCAAAUCACUUUACAAAGGAAGACUUGUUCUUUUCCUCGAAUCUAGAAAGUUACGUAAAUAAUAGGCUGUUGAUGAUCCCAGUGGACUUUACUUUUAAUCUUUCCUUCUUUUCUUGCUUUGCUUGUCUUCCUUGUUUCAAAAAGGGCUGAUGCAAACCGUUGAACCGUUCUAAUGAUUCCAUGUACCUUCCCUCGUCGUUUAUCGUAACUACACAACAUAAUUGAGUGUUAUGGAACAUAUGAGCACAUGCAAACCCACAUAGACAAAGAUCAGAGAAAAAGCAAACUUUGCAAUAACAGCUACAGUGACGUUGAUGAUGACUCGGGGUAAAUGAGAGUGCCCCUUCCUUCACAUAUGGAGCCUCGCGCAAGGCAAGAGGCAGGCAGGUCCAUGCUGCCUUGCCUUGCAGAGCUUACGACCGGGCCCGCUAAUUGCCUUAAAAGCCUCAGUAACAAUUAUUAGGUUGAAGGACGAUAGGGGAUGUCAGUAGUAGUAGUUCUUGUUUCAGUCUUAUUGCCUGAAUAGCUGAAAAGAGUUGACUUGCAAUACAUGUAAGCUUUUGUUCUUCUGCUUCAUUAUAAGUAACCUAAGAAUUACUUGAACCGAUCGCGCAGGUCACCCUCCAACUUGAGCCAAUGUUCAAGCGAUCCAUCACCAACAGGGUCGUAAGCGACGUUGGCUUCGAGCAAACCAUCUCCUCGUACGCUGCCGCUACAUACUAUGGGGACAUCAGCUGGUAUCCGUCACAACGCAGAGUGGUGUACCGAGAUGAUAUCAAGGUCCCCAUCACCACCAAAGGAAAGGGUGUCAACGACUACUUAGGGUUCCGAGCUCAGCCCACCCUUGUCGUAGCCUCUCUACGUGCUUCAGGUCUUAUAAAUUGCAGUUUUUAUUUUGCUUGUCAAUCUUGAUGUAGUGUUCGAGAAGUAUUGUGAACACAUUUACAUCGACAUUUCGUCCGAGAUUUAUACUAAGAAGGCAUCUUUUGUCCUCUACCAUGUGUUUGUGUCAAUGACUGCAGAGGAACUAUUGGAAGCAACGGGAAAUGCGGAAGGCAAAUGUGUGCUGUUCAGAUUGCAAGUAGAUACUUUGAUUGCGAUCGGCAUGGGCUUUAAGAACAAUGACGGCGGCUUGUUAGAAUUCACUGGCUAUCCGGUCAUUGGAAACCAAAGCGACAUGCAAUCCGCUGGUAGGUUCUCAAAUUAUCCGAGGAAUGUCUGCAUGUAUGAAUGAUAACUCUUGACGAUAAUGCUUCAUCACAAUAAUGACACAUGUAAUGCCCGGAUUUAUUUAGUUUGAGUCAUCUUCUCUCCAGGUUCAUGCCUAAGGAGUGCAGAAGACAACCUUCUUACAGCCUGUGGCUGGGACCCUCGUUUUGCGGGGCUCUUCUACCACCAAACCACGAUAAGCAUCCCCUUCACCACCAUCGCUGGCUUCAUCGCCGACGUCAAGAAGCUCCGCGACGCCCAUCCCGACGCACUCUGCAGCACCGAGCUGUACUUGGGCUUCUUCAUGCGCUUCGUCCGCAACUCCACAGCUUAUCUUGGCAAAACCGACGACGUGGUGGACAUCGACAUCACAUACUAUCGUUCCAAGGAUCCAAAAAAGCCGCGACUCUACGAGGAUGUGCUCGAGGAGAUCGAACAGAUGGCCUUGUUCAAGUACAAUGCGCUGCCGCACUGGGGGAAGAAUAGAAAUGUCGGCUUCCUCAAUGUCAAGAACAAGCUGGGGGCUAAGUUGGACAAGUUUGUGAGUGUGAUGCAGAAGUAUGACAGCAAUGGAUUGUUCUCUUCAGACUGGACCGAUGCGGUACUGGGACUGCGAGGGAAGGAAGUUGUGGUGCAGGGUGAUGGUUGUGCACUGGAGGGGCUGUGCAUUUGCUCCACUGAUGACCACUGCGCUCCUAAACAAGGCUAUUAUUGUCGACCUGGAGAAGUCUACGAACAGGCUCGAGUGUGCAGGAAGAUUAAAUCCGUGGAAGCUGAUGGUUAGGUUUAUUUCUGUGUCGCUUCCUCUUCGAAUAAAGGAUGUAAUGUCAGUCAAUAAUUACUACAUAGUUUAUUAUUGUAAUAUUAAAGCAAGCGUCGAUAAAUGCAAUAUUGUAUGGGAGGCAGAUUGCAUUCCUCCUGAUUUAUCUGUGCAACUCCAAGAUGACUUAUGCAAGUCAUUCUAUAGAACUAUAAUGUGUUAAUAAAUUUCUUUUGGGCAAAAAAAUUAGGACAUAAUUUCUCAUUGUUUUUAAUUGCAAGAUCCCAUUGUGAAGGAAAGGAACACUCUCCAGUAUCCGUUGCAUGAAAGGGACGAGGAAGCAAGAAAUAACAGUGCCAUUAUUAAUGCCAUCGUGUGGAGAGACGUAGUAUGUUAACGCGAUAUUCUUCGCUAUCAUUCCUUAAAAUAAGAAUGAUGAUUAAUGAUAAUAACCUGCGACUCACGUAAACGUUCUGAUUAAUUUUACAUUAAUCACACUUGAACCACGUUUCGUGACACAAAUGACAUGGUAGUUCACACCGGUUGCAUUUCAAAUUUUUGACUCAAAGCUCGUCCUAUGGAUCGCGAGAAUAAACCAUAUGGUAAGAAGCUACGUAAAUAUGGAAAUCACAAAGAAUGGUGAUUACUGUAAUUAAGCCUUCCUCGAUCCCCCCCAACCCCAAGAAACUACUGCUCUCUCUAAAUAACUCUACGGCGCAGCAUCCAAUCUCCUUUUUGUUCCUUUCUCAUCCUCGUAAUAUAAUUUAGAGAUAGGAAGUGGUCGCGCCAUGAGCAAGGGAAACAGCAGCGAGAGCAAGCUGAGCCAGUGCAUCAAGGCCCCCGACCUGGCUCUGCGACAUACCCGGGACUUGUGCGAGAGCAGCAUGGCCGGGACUGAUAAUAUAUGUAUACACGAUAAUCUCAUGUAAGCUCGUUCAUCUACACCAAAUACUAGUUUUAGAUCGGGCAUGACAUCCUGAAGGAAUGAUUGUUUAAUUGACGACAGUGUUUAUUUACGUGUGGAUUUGACGUGCUUGUUUCCAUCUUUAAAAAGGAAAAUUCAAAUUCUUUUAAAAAAAAACUGUCAACUUAAUUUUUCAAAUAGCUCUUCAAAAAAUUCUCAUUGAGUAUUUUUUUUUUUCAAAAAGACUAUUCUAUAUCAAUCGGUCAUCGCCUCCGCCUCGUAUCACUUCUGAACACGUAUCAGAGUAUUUUUUUCAAAAAGUUUCUUCUAAGCGUGAGACAAUGUAUCACUUCUGAACACGUAUCAGAGUAAAUCCAGGCCAUUGCAGUUUGCAACUUCUUCUUUCUUUUCCUGAUCCAAUUCUUACAGUUGUUGGUGAUCAUCCGCAAUUUCUUCCCAGUAUAUGUUCCCCUUGUAGCUCAAGCAAUAUCCGAAGGUAACUUUAGCUAUAAAUUUCGUUUGGUUUGGAAGUUCAAGAAAAAAUAGUCACUCUUAUGUCCAAAGUUAUUGACAGAAAUGAGGUGGUCUCAUUAACUAUGCUUUGAUACUAUGGACUACGGUCAAGAAUUUGAAGCUGUCUGGCAACAUUUACAAGUGAGAAUGGAACGGAUAAAUGAAAUCAAAAGUACCCAUUUGGACUGCACAAGAAAAACCUUUAUGACUGACGUUUUGAACUGUUCAUAUGAGGUAGUCACUGUUAACUCACAUCCACGUUCAAGAAAAGGAUGUGCUACAGUCUCCUAGCGGUGGCAAUUCCAUGAUUGUCCACCGAGGAUGCUUAUUAUUCUUAUUCGCAAGCAGUUCGUCUGAGAAAUUAACUCAGAAGCCUCGUAUUGUGCUUCUGCUCAACCAAAGAAAGAGAUCAGAAGUGGAGAUAGAAGAUCCAUGGAGCAGGACGAUCCCAAUUACCUCUUCCAGGCCUAAAUUGUAGAGUAAGUUGAUCUCUGUCAUAACCAAGUCUUGGCAGCGAUCUCCAAAGAGUUCCAUGCAUCUCGGCCAUGUAGUCGGCAACGAAGCGACGUGAUGGCAUUGAAUUCAGUGUACUCUCUGUGCAGUCACCUUACUCGGCAUCCAUGCAACCGUUCUUCCUUUAUUUUCAAAGAUAAUGAUUACUGAUUUCUUCGAGGGGAAGUGCUUCUAAAUGUGCUCGUGCAAUUGAUUCUCUUCUCAAUCGAUCUUGAUGUGCCAUGCGAUCAAACUCACAUUACGGUGUUCGUGAACAGACGUUGAAGAUCAUGGAAGGAGUAUUUUGUUUGCUGUGAUUGUGUGGAGAGAAACACACGAGGCAAGGGAAGUCCCUGUGUAGUCGGAGAAGGCAACGGAUGGCUUGGCUUUUUCUUCCCUGUAAAGGUGGAAGACGAGAUGGCCAGAUGAUCUAAUAUUAUAUUGCAGUGUUGCGUCUGUCCGUGGUUGUAGGAGUGUCCUACAAAAACAAUAACAGCUUGUUACUAAGACAUGUUCUAUAAACAAUCAAAACAAUUAAAUAUUACACGCAUUAUAUUAAGACCAGCAGAAAAUGUCUUACGUGAUUAAGUAAUUUAGUAUCUGAUAUGGGACUGACAUAUAAAUCAAAUUCUUUUAAAGUAGAAGAAUCUGAAAUAUUUUUUCUUUGUUUUUCUCAAAUAACCUAUUCAAUCUUAUUUCAUAUGCGAACCCAUUAGUUCAUCAAAUAAAAAUAUAGAUAAAUCUUUUGACUCUUAUAACAAUAUGAUCAAAUUUCGGAGUUAAACUUUUCAAAACUUUUAUAACAAUUAUAUGAUAAGGAAGAUGUACACCAUAAAAUUUUAUUUAACUAACAAUAUCAAUCACUUGUGAAAGAAAAUCUUACAUCGAUUCAUUAUUUUUCAUGAAUAAAUUUUAAAUUCACCACGAAGGGUUUAAAGUUUUACUGUAAUCACCCUUGUUGAGCCUUGAAAUUCAUUUUGAAGUAUCAAUCAAACUUGCUUUAAGGUUAUUGCUAUUGUAAUUCUUGAGAAAAUUAUUUCAUGUAUAGCUUGUUGAAUGAACAACAAUGCCUUUGAGUUCUUAUUUCUAUUCUUCCUCAGCCUGAUUUUUUUAUGUAGACCUACAUAUCCAUUCUCUAUUAAGUCCCAAAGAUCUUGAGACUUGAAUAAAAUAUUUAUCUUGAUACUCUAAAAUUCAUAGCAUUUGUCCGAGAAGAUGGAAAUAAGGGGUUGAGACAUAAAAUUAUUAUUAAAAGUCAUAAUACCCAAUUCGGAUUGAAAACUUAGCUAUGAUACCAUAAAUGUUGAGGAUGAAGGAAUAAGGAAAUGAUAAAAACAGAAUACUAUGAUAUAAUUAAAAAAAAUAUUUUGAUCAAGAAAAUCGUUGUAGUAUUUAAAUAAGAUAUAAGAUAUGAACACUUACAAGAUAUUCUCAAGUGCACACUCUUUAUCUUAUUUCAUGAAUUAAGGUCUUAUUUAUAGGACAUAGUGGUAACUACCUCACUCCAUCAUGUCACCCGUGAUUGAAUUAGGUGUAGAAACUACCUUAUAAUUUUUAGAUCAUGGGUCAUUAUUUAAAAUAUGUCCACAACUAUUUAAAACAUGAUAACUAUCUAGAUAACUACUAUGAAUCAUUAAUUUUACGUUACUGUUUUCUUCGAGCGGAAGUGCUUCUAAAUGUGCUCGUGCAAUUGAUUAUCUUCUCAAUCGAUCUUGGUGUGCCAUUCGAUCAAACUCACGGUAUGGUGUUCGUGAACAAACGUUGAAGAUCAUGGAAGGAGUUUUUUUUUUGCUUGCUUGACGUAAUUGUGUGGAGAGAAACACACGAGGCAAGGGAAGUCCCUGUGUGGCCGGAGAAGGCAACGGAAGAUCAAGUGCAAGACAACCGAUGGCUUGGCUUUUUCUUCCCUGUAAAGGUGGAAGACGAGAUGGAUAGAUGAUCUAAUAUUAUAUUGCAUUGUUGAGGGUAUCCAAUCAUUGUACAUCUGUCCGUAGCCGUAGGAGUGUCCUAAAAAAGCAAUAACAGCUUGUUACUAAGACAUGUUUUAUAAACAAUCAAAACAAUUAAAUAUUACACGCAUUAUAUUAAGGCCGGCAGAAAAUGACUACUACUUUUCGAUACUCUCUUGUGUUGUGCUUACGUGAUUAUAGUAUGAUAUGAGACUGACAUAUGACCAACACUUCAGUAACGUACGACCUACACCUCAACCGGAGGAUCUCAUCCAAGCAAUGCAUAGUAGGCACUUUGACACUCAACGGUAGGAAUCUAAAGCUCUUCAACCCCUAAUGUAUGGAAUUUGAGGUGACUUCGUAAUUUUCUUUUACAAAUUUUAAUAAAUAUAUAUUUCUCUCUAAAUAUUAUUAUCAUUCAAAUAAAUCCUUCACAUUAACGUUCUUUAAAAAGAAACCAAGAUAACCACAAUAAUCAUGGUUUUCUUCAAUUGACCAUUUGACUUCAAACCAAUUUUUAACAUAAAAUAUUUUAUAUAUCUUACUAUCUUAAUAAGGCUUGUAAAAUGUAUCAAUGUCGCUCUAAUGGUGAAAUAACAGACAUGGAGAAUAAUUUUACAGUCUCCAUAUAUAAAUAAAAAAAUCACUCUAUGUAUAAGAACACACAAAGGUAUAAUUACACUAAAAACAAUACAAUUAUCGAUGCCCCUCGCAAAAAUAUUUUAUAUCGGUUGUAUUUAAUCGGCUCACGUCGAUCAAGGUUUGUGUUUUGUCGUUAAAUCAAUCAAGUUGUCCAUUUGAUAUCAUUCAUUUACGUGCAUUUGUCCAUCAAAUAAUAAUAGUUGGACCAUGAGUUGGCUAUCUUAUCUUCCUGCCCAUCAAAACCCUUCCAUGAUGUGGCAUCGAAUAAACUUACGAUUAAAACAUGAUGAAUCAACCCUUACAAUUUAUAACAAAUAAUUGGACCGAUUCUUCCAAAUUUUAUAGUCCCAUCGUGAGGGAUGCAUGACCAAACAACCUCGCCCACAGCAUUUGACGCAGCCAUCACUAACCUUAUCGCUUUUAAAUGCAUAGUAUGGUAAAAAUAAUGAUAAUAAACUCGCGUCACAAGUUGAUAUUUUUAUUGGUUUUAGUCAAUUUCCACUUGAAGCACGUGAAUGACGUAAAUGACAUUACAGUUCGCAUUGCGUACGCAUCUAACUCUUUUGACUGGAAGCUCCUCCAAUUGCAUGUCCAUGAAUCAGAUAUGGAUGAUAUGGUACCACUUUUCCAUUGUCUUCCCACGCACAUCAUCCACGGUUUCCACACAGACUAGUAGAAGUAAAAUUGCCAACUCAUCUACCUCCAUCUAUCAAUAUAUUAUAUAAUCUCGUUCUUGCAUCGCGUGUUCUGCGACCAUCAACCGGAGACAUUAACAAUUAUGAGCCAUUCCAACACGUCUAAGUACACGUCAGAUUCAUCGGGAUGGCAUAAUCUCUUGAUAAGUCAAUGGGCUUUACCUCCCUUAUUUUAUCUGAAUUUUUUUCUGACUGUGUAAACAAAUUCACCUAUAUAUACAGACAUGCCCGGAUCAACUCUGGACAACCAUCAUGGCCGCCACCCACAUUGCCCUGUUCGUUUCCGGCCUUGCCGUCUUGCUUCUCCUCGUCCAAGGAUCGCCGCCAGGGCCUGUUGUCCAGUGCCGGUCUGGCAACACUAACUGCACCGUGACCAACGGCUAUGGAGCCUUUCCUGAUCGCAGUACCUGCCGCGUCGCCGCGGUCGCGUACCCUUCGAACGAACAGGAGCUCCUGUUAGCUGUCUCCGACGCCACCGUGAAGCAGCAGCACGUGAAGGCGGUCACGGUGUACUCACACAGCAUCCCCAAGCUGUCGUGCCCCGGCGGGCCGAGCGGCCAGGGC